UACAGAGGGUGCGAGCGUUAAUCGGAGUAACUGGGCGUAAAGGGCACGUAGGCGGUUAGAUUAGUCUGAUGUGAAAGACCUGGGCUUAACCUGGGAUGUGCAUUGGAAACGGUCUAGCUAGAGUAUGGGAGAGGGAAGUGGAAUUUCCGGUGUAGCGGUGAAAUGCGUAGAGAUCGGAAAGAACACUCGUGGCGAAGGCGGCUUUCUGGCCCAAAACUGACGCUGAGGUGCGAAAGCGUGGGGAGCAAAC
rnacentral:rRNA from 1 species